CCCUGCACAACGGUGGAGCAUGUGGUUUAAUUCGAAGCAACGCGCAGAACCUUACCAUCCUUUGACAUGGCGUGUUACUGUGGAGAGAUCCACGGUCUCCUUCGGGAGCGCGCACACAGGUGCUGCAUGGCUGUCGUCAGCUCGUGUCGUGAGAUGUUGGGUUAAGUCCCGCAACGAGCGCAACCCACGUCCUCAGUUGCCAUCAUUCAGUUGGGCACUCUGGGGAGACUGCCGGUGAUAAGCCGCGAGGAAGGUGUGGAUGACGUCAAGUCCUCAUGGCCCUUACGGGAUGGGCUACACACGUGCUACAAUGGCGGUGACAGUGGACGCGAACCCGCGAGGGCAAG
rnacentral:rRNA from 1 species